CAGCAGCCACGGGAAUACGUAGGGUGCGAGCGUUAAUCGGAAUUACUGGGCGUAAAGCGUGCGCAGGCGGUUUUGUAAGACAGAGGUGAAAUCCCCGGGCUCAACCUGGGAACUGCCUUUGUGACUGCAAGGCUAGAGUACGGCAGAGGGGGAUGGAAUUCCGCGUGUAGCAGUGAAAUGCGUAGAUAUGCGGAGGAACACCGAUGGCGAAGGCAAUCCCCUGGGCCUGUACUGACGCUCAUGCACGAAAGCGUGGGGAGCAAACAGGAUUAGAGACCCCCGUAGUCCCUGUCUCUUAUAC
rnacentral:rRNA from 1 species